CCUACGGGAGGCAGCAGUGAGGAAUAUUGGGCAAUGGACGAGACUCUGAACCAGCCAAGCAGCGUGAAGGAUGACUGCCCUAUGGGUUGUAAACUUCUUUUAUAUGGGAAUAAAAUGUUCCACGUGUGGGAUUUUGUAUGUACCAUAUGAAUAAGGAUCGGCUAACUCGGUGCCAGCAGCCGCGGUAAUACUGAGGAUCCGAGCGUUAUCCGGAUUUAUUGGGUUUAAGGGGAGCGUAGGUGGAUUGUUAAGUCAGUUGUGAACGUUUGCGGCUCAACCGUAAAAUUGCAGUUGAAACUGGAAGACUUGAGUACAGUAGAGGUGAGCGGAAUUCGUGGUGUAGCGGUGAAAUGCUUAGAUAUCACGAAGAACUCCGAUGGCGAAGGCAGUUCACUGGACUGCAACUGACACUGAGGCUCGAAAGUGUGGGUAUCAAACAGGAUUAGAUACCCUUGUAGUC
rnacentral:rRNA from 1 species